UGAUAAAAAGUUACUAUUGGAUCAUGCAUCGUCUGAUCCAACCAGGUUGGUAGUUCCAAAUGCCCGUUCCUGUCUGUAGAGAUGAUACAGGAAAAGAGUAAGAUUAUAAGAGAGGUACAAGAAGAUGUCCAGGAGAUACACUCAUACCACACAGCUUGGAAUUUAUCCCGCAGAACAUCUGCACAUGACCGCCGUUUCCGCAUCCAUCCGCCACACACGCAUAAAAGCCCUGAAAGCAGCACUUGACCUGAAAAACCCUCCGACUCCGUGAAGCACAGAUGGUUUUGAUCCUCUCCACUCUGGGAGAAUCGCUUUGAAUUCACCUUUAAAGCAAAAUUUGUGGUAAAAACAGGAAUGAAAGUGGAGUAUA